rnacentral:rRNA from 1 species
GACGAACGCUGGCGGCGCGCCUAACACAUGCAAGUCGAGCGAUAACCAGUCCUUCGGGACUGGGACGAGCGGCGAACGGGUGAGUAACACGUGGGUAAUCUACCCUCGGUUUCGGGAUAGCCCGGGGAAACCCGGACUUAAUACCGAAUGGCCUCUCAGGCUCUCGGGCUUGAGAGAAAAGGUAGCUUCGGCCUCUGACCGAGGAUGAGCCCGCGGCCGAUUAGCUAGUUGGUGGGGUAAUGGCCCACCAAGGCGACGAUCGGUAGCUGGUCUGAGAGGACGAUCAGCCACACUGGGACUGAGACACGGCCCAGACUCCUACGGGAGGCAGCAGUGGGGAAUCUUGCGCAAUGGGCGAAAGCCUGACGCAGCGACGCCGCGUGAGGGAUGACGGCC